UACGUAGGUGGCAAGCGUUGUCCGGAUUUACUGGGCGUAAAGAGCGCGCAGGCGGUCGGAUAAGUCGAAUGUGAAAGCCCCUGGCUCAACCAGGGAGGGUCAUUCGAUACUGUUCGACUCGAAGGCAGGAGAGGGAAGCGGAAUUCCCGGUGUAGUGGUGAAAUGCGUAGAUAUCGGGAGGAACACCAGUGGCGAAGGCGGCUUUCUGGCCUGUUCUUGACGCUGAGGCGCGAAAGCUAGGGGAGCAAACGGG
rnacentral:rRNA from 1 species